rnacentral:rRNA from 1 species
GAUGAACGCUGGCGGCGUGCCUAAUACAUGCAAGUCGAGCGAACAGAUAAGGAGCUUGCUCCUUUGACGUUAGCGGCGGACGGGUGAGUAACACGUGGGUAACCUACCUAUAAGACUGGGAUAACUUCGGGAAACCGGAGCUAAUACCGGAUAACAUUUGGAACCGCAUGGUUCUAAAGUGAAAGAUGGUUUUGCUAUCACUUAUAGAUGGACCCGCGCCGUAUUAGCUAGUUGGUAAGGUAACGGCUUACCAAGGCAACGAUACGUAGCCGACCUGAGAGGGUGAUCGGCAACACUGGAACUGAGACACGGUCCAGACUCCUACGGGAGGCAGCAGUAGGUAAUCUUCCGCAAUGGGCGAAAGCCUGACGGAGCAACGCCGCGUGAGUGAUGAAGGGUUUCGGCUCGUAAAACUCUGUUAUUAGGGAAGAACAAACGUGUAAGUAACUGUGCACGUCUGGACGGUACCUAAUCAGAAAGCCACGGCUAACUACGU